GAUGAACGCUGGCGGCGUGCCUAACACAUGCAAGUCGAGCGAACAGACGAGGACCUUGCUCCUCUGACGUUAGCGGCGGACGGGUGAUUAACACGUGGAUAACCUACCUAUACGAAAGGGAUGACUUCGGGAAACCGGAGCUAAUACCGGAUAAUUUAUUGCACCGCAUGGUUCACUCGUUAAAGACGGUUUUUCUUACACUUAUAGAUGGCUCCGCGCCGCAUUAGCUAGUUGGUAAGGUAACGGCUUACCAAGGCAACGAUGCGUAGCCGACCCGAGAGGGUGGUCGGACAGCCUGGAAGUGAGACACGGUACACACUCCGGCAGGAGGCAGCAGUAGGGAAUCUUCCGGGAUGGACGAAAGCCUGACGGAGCAACGCCGGGUGAAUGAUGAAGGUGUACGGAUCGGAAAACUCUGUUAGUAGUGGAGAACAAAAGUGUAAGUACCUGUGCACGUCUUGACGGUACCUAAUCAGAAAGCCCCGGCUAACUACGUG
rnacentral:rRNA from 1 species